CCAGCGGUCAUCACCAAGCUCCUUUCAACAACUGCUCUCCCACUAGAUGGCUCAAGUUAGCUACUAUACUUCUGAUGAUCGACGGGCAGGUGUUGCUUUCCCUCCCGCGUGGUCGUGUUGACGUUGUCUAGGACAUUAUAAGGAUGACGCAGACACUUCGUAUCUCCGCUGUUCCACGCAUUCAUUGGGGAAAUAACAUGAAUUGUUCCGUAUUUCUCGUCUAGGCUGUUACGUCGUCUUCGAGCAGUUGCCGUUUCCAUCUUUCUGAUCUAAGGCAGUGCCCGAGGCGAUGUAUGGAAGCCCCAAGUCAUUAAGGAAGAACCAGUAUCUCUCUCAGUCGACGGCAGUCUGUGAUCCAGGACAGAUGUCCAGCUGGCCAGCCUCCCAAACUUAAGCCUAUCGGCUCGGCGCGCCUGGCGGACACGAACCCCAGACCUGAACGAAGUCAGGCCGCAUUCUUCCACAACGAUACACUGAAUAUUGCAUCCAGGUACGUCUAAAAGUGUAAACUUCAACCCAGCACCUUUUACUACCAUACGACUCUUGCUAAAUUCAUUUUCAAUUCUCAUUUUUACCCCUUCUACAUCAAAAGCCCUUUGUCCUCAUCGGGCCACGUGCUUCCCUUUGUGACUUGUUAAAGACCAAGCUUUCAGUGCAUACCUCAGUGAAACAUUAGAGUUUCCUUCCCCCAAUGUUAGAGAAUUAAUCAGCCUUAAUCAAAGCAAGAAGUCAUUUUUUCUUUUAUCUCGUUUAAUCUGGGAUUCUUUUCCAGAUUC